rnacentral:rRNA from 1 species
ACGAACGUUAGGCGGCGCGCCUAACACAUGCAAGUCGAGCGAGAAAGGGGAAACCCCGGUAAAGCGGCGCACGGGUGAGUAACACGUAGGUAAUCUACCCUCGGGUGGAGGAUAACUUUCCGAAAGGAAGGCUAAUACUGCAUGAGACCAUCGGUUCCGACAGGAUCCUGACGAUCAAAGCGGGUCCAGAUACAUCGCUAAGCUGACGCCUGAGGAUGGAGCCCUGCGGCCCGAUUAGCUAGUUGGUAGGGGUAACGGCUCACCAAGGCUUACGAGUCGGUAGCCUGGCUCUGAGAGGGAUCGAUCAGCCACACCUGGAACUGAGACACGGUCCAGACUCCUACGGGAGGCAGCAGUGGGGGAAUCUUGCGCAAUGGGCGAAAGCCUGACGCAGCAGACGCCGCGUGAGUGAUGAAGGCCUUAGGGUUGUAAAGCUCCUGUCGGCUGGGGACGAAAUCAGUACGUGGCUCAUACCACCGGUGAUUGACUGGUACCAUCUAGGAAGCCCCGGCUAACUCUGUGCCAGCAGCCGCGGUAAGACAGAGGGUGCCAAGCGUUAUUCGGAAUUAUUGGGCGUAAAGGGCGCGUGUAGGCUGCCCGAAUGUCGUGUCUCCGUGAAAGCCCUGGGCUUAACUGAGGACGUGCGAUAGAAACUGCAGGGCUCGAGUCCUGGAGAGGAGGGUGGAAUUCUCGAGUGUAGCGGUGAAAUUGCGUAGAUAUAUGGGAGGAACACCGGUGGCGAAGGCGGCCUCUGGACCGUGACUGACGCUGAUGCGCGAAAGCGUGGGGAGCAAACAGGAUUAGAUACCCCGGUAGUCCACGCCGUAAACGAUGGGUGCACUUGGUGUGUCGCGGGCUAUCGACCCCUGCGGUGCCGUAAGCUAACGCAUUAAGGCACCCCGCCUGGGGAGUACGGUCGCAAGGCUAAACUCAAAGGAAUUGACGGGGGCCCGCACAAGCGGUGGAGCAUGUGGUUCAAUUCGAAGCAACGCGAAGAACCUUACCUGGGUUUGAAGAUCAGGUGAUCGAGGGCGAAAUCUCUCUUUCCCGCAAGGGACACCUGGUUAGGUGCUGCAUGGCUGUCGUCAGCUCGUGUCGUGAGAUGUUGGGUUAAGUCCCGCAACGAGCGCAACCCCUGCUGCUAGUUGCCAUCGGUUCGGCCGGGCACUCUAGUGGGACUGCCGGUGAUAAACCGGAGGAAGGUGGGGAUGACGUCAAGUCCUCAUGGCCUUUAUGUCCAGGGCUACACACGUGCUACAAUGGCCGGUACAAAGCGUCACGAAAGCGCAAGCUCGAGUCAAUCGCAAAAAGCCGGUCUUAGUUCGGAUUGGGGUCUGCAACUCGACCCCAUGAAGCUGGAAUCGCUAGUAAUCGCGGAUCAGCACGCCGCGGUGAAUACGUUCCCGGGCCUUGUACACACCGCCCGUCACAUCACGAAAGUCGGCUGUACCAGAAGUCGGUGUUCCAACCCGCAAGGGAGGAAGCCGCCUAAGGUAUGGUCGGUAAUUGGGUGA